rnacentral:rRNA from 1 species
UACGGAGGGAGCUAGCGUUGUUCGGAAUUACUGGGCGUAAAGCGCGCGUAGGCGGCUUUGUAAGUUAGAGGUGAAAGCCCGGGGCUCAACCCCGGAACUGCCUUUAAAACUGCAUCGCUUGAAUCCGGGAGAGGUGAGUGGAAUUCCGAGUGUAGAGGUGAAAAUUCGUAGAUAUUCGGAAGAACACCAGUGGCGAAGGCGGCUAACUGGUCCAGCACUGACGCUGAG